CUGGUCAGCUGGGGGGCAAUGAAGGCAGAUUGAAGCUCUGAUAGAGCCUGGUCAGCUGGGGGGCAAUGAAGGUAGAUUGAAGCUCUGAUAGAGCCUGGUCAGCUGGGGGGCAAUGAAGGUAGAUUGAAGCUCUGAUAGAGCCUGGUCAGCUGGGGGGCAAUGAAGGUAGAUUGAAGCUCUGAUAGAGCCUGGUCAGCUGGGGGGCAAUGAAGGUAGAUUGAAGCUCUGAUAGAGCCUGGUCAGCUGGGGGGCAAUGAAGGUAGAUUGAAGCUCUGAUAGAGCCUGGUCAGCUGGGGGGCAAUGAAGGUAGAUUGAAGCUCUGAUAGAGCCUGGUCAGCUGGGGGGCAAUGAAGGUAGAUUGAAGCUCUGAUAGAGCCUGGUCAGCUGGGGGGCAAUGAAGGUAGAUUGAAGCUCUGAUAGAGCCUGGUCAGCUGGGGGGCAAUGAAGGUAGAUUGAAGCUCUGAUAGAGCCUGGUCAGCUGGGGGGCAAUAACAUACAGCAAAGUGUCAUGUGCACACAGGUGAAAGUUGUGUUUGUGUUUUUACAGAUAGACCAAUAUUGUUAAUGUCAAUAGUGAAAAGAACCGGGCCAACAAUCGAUACCUGUGGAACACCCUUCGUUAUGUCCAGAAAGGCUGAUUUAACCCCAUCAGGAAAUACACACUGUGUUGGCCUGGUCCAGGAGAAUUGACGAAAGCCUCUAAAAGCAUUUUUUCACAAAUGGUGUGUUAACAUUCACACAAAAUAAAAUAGUGUGUAAAC